rnacentral:lncRNA from 1 species
GCCAAAGAAUAUAUUAUCACGUUUUGUCCGUCAAGUUGGGGUCACAGUUCCACGUAAAAAAAAUCUCCAAAAGAAUACUAUACGAAGAUACUCUAUGUAUUUACUUACAACACAAGAAGUAUGUAUUUGAUUUAGUAUAAAUUAUGAUUUUUGCUAACCAGUAUAAAGUAUGAUUAUGAACGGAUUAUAUGUAUUUCCUGGGCAUAUUAACGGAAUGUGAAAUGUGAGAUGUACCGUUAGAUAAUAUUUUCGGAAAUGGUGAUGGUCGUGCAAUGUAAAAUUAAAUCAGGC